rnacentral:rRNA from 1 species
GCAUGGAGAGUUCAUUAAAGAGAGCAAUUUUGGUUACAGACGAGCAUGCGCUCCAUUAGCCAGUUGGCGGGGUAACGGCCCACCAAAGCGACGAUGGAUAGGGGUUCUGAGAGGAAGGUCCCCCACAUUGGAACUGAGACACGGUCCAAACUCCUACGGGAGGCAGCAGUGAGGAAUAUUGGUCAAUGGUCGGCAGACUGAACCAGCCAAGUCGCGUGAGGGAAGACGGCCCUACGGGUUGUAAACCUCUUUUGUCGGAGAGUAAAGUACGCUACGUGUAGCGUAUUGCAAGUAUCCGAAGAAAAAGCAUCGGCUAACUCCGUGCCAGCAGCCGCGGUAAUACGGAGGAUGCGAGCGUUAUCCGGAUUUAUUGGGUUUAAAGGGUGCGUAGGCGGCACGCCAAGUCAGCGGUGAAAUUUCCGGGCUCAACCCGGAGUGUGCCGUUGAAACUGGCGAGCUAGAGUACACAAGAGGCAGGCGGAAUGCGUGGUGUAGCGGUGAAAUGCAUAGAUAUCACGCAGAACCCCGAUUGCGAAGGCAGCCUGCUAGGGUGAAACAGACGCUGAGGCACGAAAGCGUGGGUAUCGAACAGGAUUAGAUACCCUGGUAGUCCACGCAGUAAACGAUGAAUACUAACUGUUUGCGAUACAAUGUAAGCG